UACGAAGGGGGCUAGCGUUGUUCGGAAUUACUGGGCGUAUAGGGCGCGUAGGCGGUGCACUAAGUCAGGCGUGAAAGCCCUGGGCUCAACCCGGGAAUUGCGCUUGAUACUGGUGCGCUUGAAUCCAGGAGAGGUUGGUGGAAUUCCCAGUGUAGAGGUGAAAUUCGUAGAGAUUGGGAAGAACACCGGUGGCGAAGGCGGCCAACUGGACUGGUAUUGACGCUGAGGCGCGAAAGCGUGGGGAGCAAACAGG
rnacentral:rRNA from 1 species